rnacentral:ncRNA from 1 species
GUUUAUCCCCCAUUAAAAGUGCAAACCCCAGGCUUCCUUUUUGUUUAAGGGUUGAAGGGGGAUCAGGAUACCCCCCUAGUUUUGACCGGUAACGGAUGCCAACUAGCGAUCCGCCGAAGGAGUUUCAUUUGCCUUGGUGGGGAGCUUCCCGGAAACGAAAGUCUUCCGGUUCCGGGGGAAGUAGGGUUGCAAAGCUGAAACUUAAAGGAAUUGACGGAAGGGCACCACCAGGAGUGGAGCCUGCGGCUUAAUUUGACUCAACACGGGGAAACUCACCCGGCCCGGACACUGUGAGGAUUGACAGAUUGAUAGCUUUUUCAUGAUUCAGUGGAUGGUGGUGCAUGGCCGUUCUUAGUUCGUGGAGUGAUUUGUCUGGUUUAUUCCGAUAACGAGCGAGACUCUAACCUACUAAAUAGCUGAUGCAUAUUUUACGUGUAUUCGGCUUCUUAGAGGGAUUUGCGGCUUUCAGCCGAAAGAAAUUGAGCAAUAACAGGUCUGUGAUGCCCUUAGAUGUCCGGGGUUGCACGCGCGCUACACUGGCAAAAUCAACGUGCUUGUCCUACCCCGAAAGGGGUGGGUAAACCAUUGAAAAUUUGCCGUGAUUGGGAUCGGAAAUUGCAAUUAUUUUCCGUGAACGAGGAAUUCCAAGUAAGUGCGAGUCAUCAGCUCGCGUUGAUUACGUCCCUGCCCUUUGUACACACCGCCCGUCGCUGCCCGGGACUGAGCCAUUUCGAGAAACUUGGAGACUGUUGAUCUAAUUUUUUUAAGUUACUUUGAUGGAAACCAAUUUAAUCGCAGUGGCUUGAACCGGGCAAAAGUCGUAACAAGGUAGCUGUAGGUGAACCUGCUGCUGGAUCAUUA